rnacentral:lncRNA from 1 species
GGGGUAUUUAUAGUGAUACAUAUGGAAUGGGGACCAUUGAAUGAAGUGGCACGUGGUCUCAUCUCCUUAGUUCAAACGUCUAUUUUUAGGCCUGGGACUUGACUUGCUAGCUUACGGCGCAUUUAUUGCUUGUGCAGGGCCUGCAUGCUAGUGACAAGACUUGACCUUUAUGUUUAUGACAAACAUUCCUUCAAUCAUUCGAAUAAGAUCUGUGCAGGCGAUCUCUUGGGAGAAGUGACCAUGGAGGAUGUUUCCUUGUAGUUAAGAGGCUCGUGCAUCAACUUCGGGGCUUCGUCCAUUUGAGGACCUCAGCUACAUCCAAAGGCUUCCACGCCUCGGGCCAUGGGCCUCGAUUAGAAGCAGUUCGGAUAUAACCCACCUCCGCAAUGUGGGCCACCUCGGCAGGAAAUGCCACGUGGAUCAAGAUGAGUGGGCCCCUGUCCCAAGUAGGUAGGACAGGUGUGACAACACGCAACAGCCCCCUCACAUGAGAGAGCCCCUCAUGAGAGGGCUGUAAUCGUACAGUCUUGGAAAAACCCUUGUGUCAUGGUCCAUGCCCCUGUGAAGCUGGCUAAUGCUAAUUUAGGCACCUCCAGAACGCACAUAUAACAAGCUUAACAUCUACCAACUUCCAUUGCUCCGAGCACUUACAACCUCUUCUGCCUAAAGAGUGAGCUUUAACUUCUCGGUUUGGCCCUCCA